GACCUGGUCACAGAUUUCAGACCAGAAGUCUUGACUUAAAAGCAAAGGGACCACUGCAAAGCGGAAUAAAGUUCGGGAAAAACCAUCUACUGAUAGGAAAAGGUGCAGACUUUCUAUGGGGGAGUAUCCCCAUGAGUGCAGUGAAAGUGAGAAAGCCUUUAGUUACCACUUAUCCUUUAAUCAACAGGCAGCAACUCAAUCCAGAGAGAAACCCCAUGAAUAUAGUCUAUGUGGAAAAGCCACCAAAAGGAAUUCUAACAUUAUUUUGCCCAAGAGAAAUUACACAGGACA